GAUCAUGCUCAGAUUGAACGCUGGCGGCAGGCCUAACACAUGCAAGUCGAACGGUAACAGGAAGAAGCUUGCUUCUUUGCUGACGAGUGGCGGACGGGUGAGUAAUGUCUGGGAAACUGCCUGAUGGAGGGGGAUAACUACUGGAAACGGUAGCUAAUACCGCAUAAUGUCGCAAGACCAAAGAGGGGGGACCUUCGGGCCUCUUGCCAUCGGAUGUGCCCAGAUGGGAUUAGCUAGUAGGG
rnacentral:rRNA from 1 species